rnacentral:rRNA from 1 species
GGUUUGUCGCGUCGUCUGUGAAAUUCCGGGGCUUACUCCGGGCGUGCAGGCGAUACGGGCAUAACUUGAGUACUGUAGGGGUAACUGGAAUUCCUGGUGUAGCGGUGAAAUGCGCAGAUAUCAGGAGGAACACCGAUGGCGAAGGCAGGUUACUGGGCAGUUACUGACGCUGAGGAGCGAAAGCAUGGGUAGCGAACAGGAUUAGAUACCCUGGUAGUCCAUGCCGUAAACGGUGGGCGCUAGGUGUGAGGGUCUUUUCACGACUUUCGUGCCGUAGCUAACGCAUUAAGCGCCCCGCCUGGGGAGUACGGCCGCAAGGCUAAAACUCAAAGGAAUUGACGGGGGCCCGCACAAGCGGCGGAGCAUGUGGAUUAAUUCGAUGCAACGCGAAGAACCUUACCUGGGCUUGACAUACACUGGAUCGGGCUAGAGAUAGUCUUUCCCUUUGUGGCUGGUGUACAGGUGGUGCAUGGUUGUCGUCAGCUCGUGUCGUGAGAUGUUGGGUUAAGUCCCGCAACGAGCGCAACCCUCGUCUUAUGUUGCCAGCAUUUGGUUGGGGACUCAUGAGAGACUGCCGGGGUCAACUCGGAGGAAGGUGGGGAUGACGUCAAAUCAUCAUGCCCCUUAUGUCCAGGGCUUCACACAUGCUACAAUGGUCGGUACAACGCGCAGCGACACUGUGAGGUGGAGCGAAUCGCUGAAAGCCGGCCUUAGUUCGGAUUGGGGUCUGCAACUCGACCCCAUGAAGUCGGAGUCGCUAGUAAU